CGCACCUAUGUGGGGCGUAAUUCAUCUUAAGCCAGGGAGCAUGGGAAAGUCUAGCAUACUGAAAGUGGGAGAGAAUUGUUGAUAUUGGCUCACCUAAAGAUGUGGAAGGAGUAAAGGAAACAAAAGGUCAAAAGAGCUGUAGUCAUUUUGACUGGGCUCUGCCUCCCGAAUGCCUGUACUUCUCGACCAGACCAGGCACUUUAGCACUUGCUUGAGCAGUAGAACUUAGACUCGAACUGACAUAGGCACUCAAGCAGCACAGUGGCACUGAACUAGGAGGCUCGAAUCCAGCGUGUAUCCCUGGCUAAUCUGAACAUAUUUUCUUCUAGUUUUGGGUCCUUUAAGUUUUCUAUUCCUUGUAUAAUUAUACUAAAGCCCUAUAACAUAUAAAUAGGCACUUUAGCAUUAUAGGUUAUUGUAACAUGAGAAAGCUAAGGCAUCAAA